CCUCUUUAAUGGUUGCAGCUCGAGCUCCUUCAUUUGCAGAGAAUAGCUUCUGAAAAUACUCGGAGAUAACAUUGAGGAUCCCUGCCUCUUCAUACUCAGGUACUCCAUCCUCCUUUUCUAUCACUGAGAACUUAUUUAUCACCGUUCUACCUCUAGUGAUGGCAUGGAAGUAACCCGAAUUUUUAUCUCCUAAGGCAAGCCAUAACUGUCUGCUUCUCUGCUUCCAAUACUCUUCCUCUGCCUUGUAUGCUAAGAGCAAAUUAGUAUUGAUAGUCGAUAACAGCUCUUGAUUGUGAUCUUGACUAGACAUUGCCUCUUCAAGUUUUUGACGAUUUUCCUCAAUAAGUUUUUGACUACUUUGCUGCUUAGCCCUAGACCACUUAACAAUUUCCAAACGACAUCUGCUAAUUUUUUCCUCCACAAUGUCUGUAUCAUAAAGAUUCCAGGCCUCUUGAACAAGGGCUGUGACUUCAUCGUUGUUUUUUAGACGCCUAUCGUAACGAAACACUCCUUUUUUCUUUUUCUUUGACAGGUCAAAGUGGGUAAGAAGUGGUCUGUGGUCUGACCCUUCAAAGCAAAGGUAAAUGCAUCUACUAGCAGGAUAAUCUUCAGCCCACGCUCCAUUGGACAAUGCACGAUCAAGCCUGCAAUGCACAACAUGAUCAUGUCUCUUUCCACGCCAAGAUAAGAAAUUCCCUGAAUGUCUUAAAUCAUACAAAUCACAUUCCGCCAUAAAUGAUCUAAUGUCCACAAAAGUUCCUUCAUAUCUUGCAGGUCCUCCUUGUUUUUCAGAAGAAUCUAUGAUAUAAUUGAAUUCUCAGUAAGAUACCAGGGUUCACUUCUAUCUUUCCCUAAACUGGUAAGCUGAUCCCAUAUAGCUUUCCGCUUUGAUCUGUCUGGUUCCCCAUAGAUGAAAGUAGCAAAGAAGUGUUUACCCGCCGCCUUAAUCUUUGUGUCAAUAAAGUUGUUGCAGGAAUAAAGGAUUGUCACUUCUACUUCAUGUUUCCAGAGAAGGGCCAGACCACCACCUCCUGGGCUAUGCGGGGGAACAAGGUGAUGUGCAGAAAAAUUCAUCCAGUUUAAAGAGGUGAGGGUUGUCUCAUUGGGGUUCUUGGUUUCCAUAAGGAACAGAAUUUCUGGUGAGAUUGAAGAAUGCAUCUCACGCAGCCGUUGUACUGUUGUGGGGCUCCCCAAUCCACAACAGUUCCAGCUCAGAACUUUUAAGGAAUCUGAUUUGGUAGAUGGUGAAAAUCCACCUUAUCUUUCACUCUUGCAGGUAUAAUAGUUACUCGUGGAGUAGGUUGACUUGAGGAAGGGUUGGAGGCUCCAGGUUGGAGGAGAAGCUUUUGCUUUGUUUUCGUGGUUCUGCUAGGGCCAGCAGAUUCUUGUAUGUGAGCUUCAUUCUUCUCAGGUGUGGAUUUCCUUUUAGGGGAGUUCUGGAUAAGUCCCUUUCUUUUGCUUGAUUUUGCUCCCAGCAAUGGUAAAGCAGCUUUGUUUUGGGGUUUAGCUAAAGGUGGACGUCCUCUUUUCUUUUUUGCAGGAGCAACACAGCUUGUAGUCUGAUCAGCCGGAUGACUUUGUAGGUCUUGGUACUGAGAGAGAUUAUCUUGUGUUGGAAGAUCUUCAGAGGCAAGGUAAUUUUGGUUUGAGAUGAGUGCAGCUUCCAGCAUUAUAGAAGCUGUUUCUGCCAUGAGUCCUUUUUCUUCUCCUUGAAAAACUCUUCGUUUUCUUGCAGCGCUUUCAGUUGGGUGUGCACAACUAACAUAUUGCAGAGUGACGUCUCUAAGCUCUCCCAUGAUUUGGUCAUUAGUAGGGAUGGGAGGAGGAGGUGGUGGAGUAACCUCAUAAGAAUCCAGGUUUCUCUCCAACGGGGGACGUCUUGUUCUCGAAGUUUCAGAGCUAUCAUUUCUAGGACUGAGUCUAUGUGUGGCUCUAACCCUCCAUUGAGGAGUCUGAGAAGAAUCUCUUCUUGGCCCCUCUCUAAUAGGAUCCUGAUAUCUUGAGGUACCCCUUUUGUCUCCUGUCUCAUGGCGACCUAAAUUCCUUCUGUUAGGGUUAAAAGGAUUUCUGUGUCUUCUCUCCUCAUAGGGUCCAGCUCGGCGAGAUAGAUGUUCUCUAGAAGUUGAGGUCUACUCCUCUUACUUUUCCAAGAUCUUGAGAACGACUUUGAUUAAUAGAAGGGUUUCUUGAAGGCGCUCUUGAGGGAGAUGAUUCUCUUAGAGAUCUAGGGGCUAUGAAAUUGUCUCUAG
rnacentral:lncRNA from 1 species